UGGGGAAUUUUGCGCAAUGGGGGAAACCCUGACGCAGCAACGCCGCGUGGAGGAUGAAAUCCCUUGGGAUGUAAAUUCCUUUCGAUCGGGAAGAUAAUGACGGUACCGAGAGAAGAAGCCCCGGCUAACUUCGUGCCAGCAGCCGCGGUAAUACGAGGGGGGCAAGCGUUGUUCGGAAUUAUUGGGCGUAAAGGGUGCGUAGGCGGUUUGAUAAGUCACAUGUGAAAUCUUCGGGCUCAACCCGAAGUCUGCAUGCGAAACUGUCGGGCUUGAGUAUGGGAGAGGUGAGUGGAAUUUCCGGUGUAGCGGUGAAAUGCGUAGAUAUCGGAAGGAACACCAGUGGCGAAAGCGACUUCCUGGUCGAAUACUGACGUUCAUGUGCGAAAGCGUGGGGAGCAAACAGGAUUAGAUACCCUGGUAGUCCACGCCAUAAACGAUGACAACUAGAUGUUGGGAGGGUCUGCCUCUCGGUGUCGCAGCUAACGCGUUAAGUUGUCCGCCUGGGGAGUACGGCCGCAAGGU
rnacentral:rRNA from 1 species